AAGUUUUUCGUAAUUUUCCGAGGGUGCAGUCGCCAUAAAUGCCGGCGUGUCCUCUCCAAUUCGACAGCUAGGCGCCCGGGCGGGUUGGAGAAAGUUGCGAGAGCGUGUUCUGUUGCGUGAGUGUACAGCG
rnacentral:SRP_RNA from 1 species